rnacentral:rRNA from 1 species
AGAGUUUGAUCAUGGCUCAGGAUAAACGCUGGCGGCGUGCCUAAAACAUGCAAGUCGAACGGCUCCGGGUCUUCGGAUCUGGGGUAGUGGCGGACGGCUGAGUAACACGUGGGUGACCUGCCCUCGAGCGGGGGAUAACUGCCCGAAAGGGUGGCUAAUACCGCAGACGUCGAUCAUUCGGUUGGUCGACUGAACCUCCGGGGUUCGGGGAGGGGCCCGCGGUCGAUUAGCUGGCUGGUGGGGUAACGGCCUACCAGGGCUGCGAUCGAUAGCUGGUCUGAGAGGAUGAUCAGCCAGACUGGGACUGCGAACGGCCCAGACUCCUACGGGAGGCAGCAGUUAGGAAUUUUGGGCAAUGGGCGGAAGCCUGACCCAGCAACGCCGCGUGGGUGAUGAAGGCCCUCGGGUCGUAAAGCCCUUUUCCCAGGGACGAUGGUGACGGUACCUGGGGAAUCAGCCCCGGCUAACUACGUGCCAGCCGCCGCGGUAAUUC